AUUGAACGCUGGCGGCAGGCCUAACACAUGCAAGUCGAGCGGUAACAGAUCUAGCUUGCUAGAUGCUGACGAGCGGCGGACGGGUGAGUAAUGCAUAGGAAUCUGCCCGGUAGUGGGGGAUAACCUGGGGAAACCCAGGCUAAUACCGCAUACGUCCUACGGGAGAAAGGGGGCUUCGGCUCCCGCUACGGGAUGAGCCUAUGUCGGAUUAGCUAGUUGGUGAGGUAAAGGCUCACCAAGGCUGCGAUCCGUAGCUGGUCUGAGAGGAUGAUCAGCCACAUCGGGACUGAGACACGGCCCGAACUCCUACGGGAGGCAGCAGUGGGGAAUAUUGGACAAUGGGGGGAACCCUGAUCCAGCCAUGCCGCGUGUGUGAAGAAGGCC
rnacentral:rRNA from 1 species